rnacentral:rRNA from 1 species
GAUUGAACGCUGGCGGCAUGCCUUACACAUGCAAGUCGAGCGCGAAAGGGGGCAACCCCGAGUAGAGCGGCGGACGGGUGAGUAACGCAUCGGAACGUGCCCAGUAGUGGGGGACAACCUCGAGAAAUCGAGGCUAAUACCGCAUACGGCCCACGGGUGAAAGCGGGGGACCGCAAGGCCUCGCGCUAUUGGAGCGGCCGAUGUCCGAUUAGCUAGUUGGCGGGGUAAGAGCCCCACCAAGGCGACGAUCGGUAGCUGGUCUGAGA